CGGGGAAGGGAAGACGAAGAAGAAGCGUGGAGAGGGACCCGAGAAAGGGGGAGGCGAGAGGAGCACGCGCUCCGGACAUCGUCGUGCCGGCGAGCACAGCGCACGGGAGCCGUCUUCCCUGGCGUCUGCUGGCUUCGCCGAUUCCUCCCUGGGAGCCCCCACCGCUGAUCCCCCUCCAGUUGGGGCUGGUCCUCCAAGCUGCUAAGCUGUGGCACCCUCUGAUACAUUCCACUUCAACCCCCCCCCCCGAAACGCUGUAGCCUGAUUGGGGGAGAAAAAGCCCAGCAGCCUCGCCUAUUAUCCACCGAUCCCAGCUUCAGAGACGCCGCACGAGCCUCUGGACAGCUCUUUCCCAGGAGCGUGUAAGGAAGGGGGGAUGCUGAGAUGGAGGGGCGGGCGGGUGGAUGGAUUCAGAUAUCUGCCCCAACAAAGAAGUGUGAUCAACUUGUUUUCGCCUCUGUAUCCUCCUCCAAUGCCUUUUCUCCCUCUCCCUCUCCUCACAGACGGCGAAGGAAUCUAGCAGGAGGGGAGGGGAGAGGCUCUGAGGCUGAUUCAAGAAGGGUUUCCGAAGGAAGGAAGGAAAGAAGGAAGGAAGGAAGGAGAAGCGGGCUAAACCACUUAUUCUGCAUGGAGCGGCUGUUCCAGCAAAGCUGCGAGUGGAGCUGUUGGAGUAGAGGUGGCGAUGACAGGGAGGCGGGGCGGGGGGGGGAGAGAACGGCCGCCGCGCCUAGUGCAGGUUCGCGGCCAAUAGAUGGCAGUGUUAGGCUUAGGCAUCACAUUGACAUUCUUCAGAAAUGCUCGCUUAGCUUGAAGCCAAAAGCAGGGGGGCUCUUCCCGCCGCUUCCACACACACACACCCCCCGCCCCGCAAGCUAUGAUGAUGCUGAUGAUUCCUAGGAACGGGAAUCAGCCUUCUUGUCUGCUUUACACAGGCAGGGGCACUUAGUACAGGGAGGAUGACACUUAGCUGCCAGGGAAAAGAGAGGGGGCACGUGCAGGUCUACUGCUGAAGAAGUAACCAACCCAAUCCCUUGCCAGCUGGCAAAAUUACAGGAUACAAAACUAACACUGAAUAUGGCAAGUUAGUAUUUAACACAAUUGCAUUACAUGUAUGCAAGAUUUAGCAUUUAUUUUUUCCUUAAGUUCCCCUCUAAAUUGAACAUCAGCAUUGAAAAUUCAGGUCCUAAUUUAUUUAAAUAUUCACAUUUUGAAUGUGUGCAAGGUUUUGUUUCAGUUCUGCAAAUGGCAGCUCGAUCAAUUAGCAGAUUUAAACCAUACAUCCCAGUAAAUAAUGUAGACACAAGUGUGGGACUGUAUGUGCUUAUGCAGCUUAGCUACUGGUAUUAGUGUCCUAGAACACAUGUAUAGAAGAACCCAAUUAUCUUCUGCAGUGGUAUGACACCUGACAGCAGUGCAGGGAAUUUACAGAAGGUGGAAGUUCAUUGUUGCUUUUUUGUGGGUUUUCAUUCUGGAUGCUUGGAAUCAUAUGGAUAUUUGUUGAUAAAUACAGUGAGUAAAAAUAGAGCUGACA